rnacentral:rRNA from 1 species
AUUGAACGCUGGCGGCAGGCCUAACACAUGCAAGUCGAACGGUAACAGGAAGAAGCUUGCUUCUUUGCUGACGAGUGGCGGACGGGUGAGUAAUGUCUGGGAAACUGCCUGAUGGAGGGGGAUAACUACUGGAAACGGUAGCUAAUACCGCAUAACGUCGCAAGACCAAAAAGGGGGACCUUCGGGCCUCUUGCCAUCGGAUGUGCCCAGAUGGGAUUAGCUAGUAGGUGGGGUAACGGCUCACCUAGGCGACGAUCCCUAGCUGGUCUGAGAGGAUGACCAGCCACACUGGAACUGAGACACGGUCCAGACUCCUACGGGAGGCAGCAGUGGGGAAUAUUGCACGAAGGGCGCAAGCCUGAUGCAGCCAUGCCGCGUGUAUGAAGAAGGCCUUCGGGUUGUAAAGUACUUUCAGCGGGGAGGAAGGGAGUAAAGUUAAUACCUUUGCUCAUUGACGUUACCCGCAGAAGAAGCACCGGCUAACUCCGUG